UAACGAAUAUUGGGCAAUGGGCGAAAGCCUGACCCAGCAAUGCCGCGUGCAGGACGAAGUCCUUCGGGAUGUAAACUGCUGUCAGGGGUCCGCAAGCGAAGGGGUCCAACAGGCCCUGGAGUUGAGCAGCCCCAGAGGAAGCCUCGACUAACUCUGUGCCAGCAGUCGCGGUAAGACAGAGGAGGCAAGCGUUGUUCGGAAUCACUGGGCUUAAAGCGCGUGUAGGCGGCUUAGAAAGUGUCGUGUGAAAUCCCGCGGCUCAACCGCGGAACUGCACGGCAAACUACUUGGCUUGAGGUCGGUAGAGGUGCCUGGAACUCUAGGUGGAGCGGUGAAAUGCGUAGAUAUCUAGAGGAACGCCAGAAGCGAAAGCGGGGCACUGGGCUCUAACUGACGCUGAGGCUCGAAAGUGUGGGGAGCAAACA
rnacentral:rRNA from 1 species